CAAAAACAUCGCCUCUUGCCCCAAACAUAAGAGGUCCAGCCUGCCCAGUGACUAUUGUUCAACGGCCGCGGUAUCCUAACCGUGCGAAGGUAGCGUAAUCACUUGUUCUUUAAAUGAGGACUAGUAUGAAUGGCAUCACGAGGGUUAUACUGUCUCCUCUCUCUAAUCAGUGAAACUAAUCUCCCCGUGAAGAAGCGGGGAUAAAAUUAUAAGACGAGAAGACCCUAUGGAGCUUUAAGUAAAUCUUCAAACGCUUGUACACCCUAACAGUCAUAGACCCUUAAAAUUAACUUUAGCGCCAUGAAGAUGAACUUUAGGUUGGGGUGACCACGGAGUACAAAAAAACCUCUACGCUGAACAAGCCUCAAAGCCUUGAGUAAAGGACCACAACCCGACACACUAAUAAACUAACACCCAUUGACCCAAUAAUCCUUUGAUCAACGAACCAAGUUACCCUAGGGAUA
rnacentral:rRNA from 1 species